UAAAGGUAUUCCGGUAGACGAUGGGGAUGCGUUCCAUUAGAUAGUAGGCGGGGUAACGGCCCACCUAGUCUUCGAUGGAUAGGGGUUCUGAGAGGAAGGUCCCCCACAUUGGAACUGAGACACGGUCCAAACUCCUACGGGAGGCAGCAGUGAGGAAUAUUGGUCAAUGGGCGAGAGCCUGAACCAGCCAAGUAGCGUGAAGGAUGACUGCCCUAUGGGUUGUAAACUUCUUUUAUAAAGGAAUAAAGUCGGGUAUGGAUACCCGUUUGCAUGUACUUUAUGAAUAAGGAUCGGCUAACUCCGUGCCAGCAGCCGCGGUAAUACGGAGGAUCCGAGCGUUAUCCGGAUUUAUUGGGUUUAAAGGGAGCGUAGAUGGAUGUUUAAGUCAGUUGUGAAAGUUUGCGGCUCAACCGUAAAAUUGCAGUUGACACUGGAUAUCUUGAGUGCAGUUGAGGCAGGCGGAAUUCGUGGUGUAGCGGUGAAAUGCUUAGAUAUCACGAAGAACUCCGAUUGCGAAGGCAGCCUGCUAAGCUGCAACUGACAUUGAGGCUCGAAAGUGUGGGUAUCAAACAGGAUUAGAUACCCUGGUAGUCCACACGGUAAACGAUGAAUACUCGCUGUUUGCGAUAUACUGCAA
rnacentral:rRNA from 1 species